rnacentral:RNase_P_RNA from 1 species
GAGGCAGGUUGGGUGAUCGCUGUCCUGCAGUCUUGGGUUUUAACACCUUCGGCUGCUAGAGAGAGGAAAGUCUGAACACCAUAGAGCGGUGAACUGGUUAACGGCCAGGCGGGGUAACUCGACGACAAGUGCAACAGAGAACAGACCAGCCGAUGGCAGAAAGAGUAAGCUCUUUCUGAUCAGGUGAUGGGUGAAACGGUGGGGGGCAGAAGCUCUUAAUGUAAAAGCCCACCAGCAGGUGUGGUAACACAUCUGGCUAGGCAAACUCUUCACGGUGCAAGACCAAAUAGGGAGGCGUUAUAAGGCGGCUCGUCUUAGUCUUUCUGUGACAAACAGAGAACACGACCUCCGGGUAGGUUGCUUGAGCGAUGCGGUAACGUAUCGCCUAGAUGAAUGAUCACUACUCUAUCUGCUGGCUUACCAACAGAUAGAGCACAGAAUUCGGCUUACAGACCUACCUCAGCA